rfam:Dipodomys ordii contig_30106, whole genome shotgun sequence.
GGGAAUGUGGCUUAGUGGUAGAGUGCUUGCCUGGUAGGUAUGAAGCCCUGGGUUCGAUUCCUUAGUCCCA